rnacentral:rRNA from 1 species
UACGUAGGUGGCGAGCGUUAAUCGGAUUUACUGGGCGUAAAGCGUGCGCAGGCGGCCCGUUAAGACAGGUGUGAAAUCCCUGGGCUCAACCUAGGAAUUGCGCUUGUGACUGGCGGGCUCGAGUACGGUAGAGGGGGGUGGAAUUCCUGGUGUAGCAGUGAAAUGCGUAGAGAUCAGGAGGAACACCGAUGGCGAAGGCAGCCCCCUGGGCCUGUACUGACGCUCAUGCACGAAAGCGUGGGGAGCAAACAGG